GAUGAACGCUGGCGGCGUGCCUAAUACAUGCAAGUCGAGCGAACAGAUAAGGAGCUUGCUCCUUUGACGUUAGCGGCGGACGGGUGAGUAACACGUGGAUAACCUACCUAUAAGACUGGGAUAACUUCGGGAAACCGGAGCUAAUACCGGAUAACAUAUUGAACCGCAUGGUUCAAUAGUGAAAGGCGGCUUUGCUGUCACUUAUAGAUGGAUCCGCGCCGUAUUAGCUAGUUGGUAAGGUAACGGCUUACCAAGGCAACGAUACGUAGCCGACCUGAGAGGGUGAUCGGCCACACUGGAACUGAGACACGGUCCAGACUCCUACGGGAGGCAGCAGUAGGGAAUCUUCCGCAAUGGGCGAAAACCUGACGGAGCAACGCCGCGUGAGUGAUGAAGGUCUUCGGAUCGUAAAACUCUGUUAUCAGGGAAGAACAAAUGUGUAAGUAACUGUGCACAUCUUGACGGUACCUGAUCAGAAAGCCACGGCUAACUACGUG
rnacentral:rRNA from 1 species